GCCCUCUUCGUCUAGGGGUCUAGGAUACCAGGUUUUCAUCCUGGCGACAGGGGUUCGAAUCCCCUAGAGGGUACCA
rnacentral:tRNA from 1 species